rnacentral:rRNA from 1 species
CCUACGGGUGGCAGCAGUGGGGAAUAUUGCACAAUGGGGGAAACCCUGAUGCAGCGACGCCGCGUGAGUGAAGAAGUACUUCGUUAUGUAAAGCUCUAUCAGCAGGGAAGAAAAUGACGGUACCUGAGUCAGAAGCCCCGGCUAACUACGUGCCAGCAGCCGCGGGAAUACGUAGGGGGCAAGCGUUAUCCGGGUUUACUGGGGGUAAAGGGGGCGUAGACGGGAGUGCAAGUCUGGAGGGAAAGGCGGGGGCUCAACCCCCGGACUGCCCUGGAAACUGUACGGCUGGAGUGCAGGAGAGGUAAGUGGAAUGCCUGGUGUAGCGGUGAAAUGCGUAGAGAUCAGGAGGAACACCAGUGGCGAAGGCGGCUUACUGGACUGUAACUGACGUUGAGGCUCGAAAGCGUGGGGAGCAAACAGGAUUAGAUACCCGUGUAGUC